rnacentral:lncRNA from 1 species
GAAAUAUUGUAGAUUUGAAAUUGUGAUUCAUAAAUUGAGAUAAUAAGAACUGUUGAUAUAUGGGAAUUUGUUUUGAAUUUUUUAUGAGUAGGUUCUAUUUUUAAAUAUUUUUCCUAAAAACUGCUAUUUUAAGAAAGUUAUCAUUUUGUAGAGAAAUAUUGUUGAUUUGAAAUUUUGAUUCAGAAAUUGGGAUAACUAUAAUUUUUCUUUGAUAGAUGGGCAUUCAAAUAGUAUUUUUGAUCAAUAGGUUAUAUUUUUAAAUAAAUUUUCUAAAAACUGCUAUUGUAGAUUUAAGAUUGUGAUUAAAAUUUUUGAAUUACAAUAGUUUUUGUUGAUAGAUGGGUAUUCUUUUAGAUUAUUUGAUCAAUAUAUUUUAUUUUUUAAUUAAUUUUUUAAAAACUGCUAUUUAGGAAAAGUCAUCAUUUUUGUAGAGAUAUAUUGUAGAUUUGAGAUUGUGAUUGAGAAAUUAGGAUAACAAAAAAUUUUGUUGAUAGAUGGGCUUUCUUUUAGAUUAUUAUAUCAAUACGAAUUAUUUUUAAAUAAAUUUUCUAAAAACUGAUAUUUUUGGAAAGUUAUCAUUUUUGCAGAGAAAUAUUGUAGAUUUGAGAUUGUAAUUUAGAAAUUAGGAUAACAAGAGUUUUGUUGAUAUAUCGACAUUUUUAAGAAUUUUUAUCAUAAGGUUAUAUCUUAUAAUUAAAUUUUCAAAAAGCUAUUAUUUUAGGAAAGUUAUCAUUUUUAUAAAGAAAUAUUGUAGAUUUGAAAUUGUGAUUCAUAAAUUGGGAUAAUAAGAGUUUUUGUUGAUAUAUGAGAUUUUUUUUU